rnacentral:rRNA from 1 species
CCUACGGGAGGCAGCAGUGGGGAAUAUUGCACAAUGGGGGAAACCCUGAUGCAGCGACGCCGCGUGAGUGAAGAAGGAAUUCGUUAUGGAAAGCUCUAUCAGCAGGGAAGAAAAUGACGGUACCUGAGUAAGAAGCCGCGGCUAACUACGUGCCAGCAGCCGCGGUAAUACGUAGGGGGCAAGCGUUAUCCGGAUGUACUGGGUGUAAAGGGAGCGUAGAGGGCAGUGCAAGUCUGGAGUGAAAGGCGGGGGGUCAACCCCCGGACUGCUCUGGAAACUGUACGGCUGGAGUGCAGGAGAGGUACGUGGAAUUCCUAGUGUAGCGGUGAAAUGCGUAGAUAUUAGGAGGAACACCAGUGGCGAAGGCGGCUUACUGGACUGUAACUGACGUUGAGGCUCGAAAGCGUGGGGAGCAAACAGGAUUAGAUACCCUAGUAGUC